GUUAGGAUGCUCCCACUCCACUACUGACUCCCACCAUUCUUCUGGAUAUACCUCAAUUUUUCUAAGAGAAGGGGGAGGAGAUGGCUGGCCAUUUUCAAGCAACGGAAGACAAAUUGGCAUCCUUUUCAGCUUCUUACAAUUAUAAACUGCAAUCUCUUUGAGAGAAUCGCAAAUCAGUUUUGCACUACAAAUGCUUUCCAGUUCUGGUUUGGCAGCAGGACAAGAGGGAACAACUUCUUCAUACUACUACAUCCAGAGCAAAAGAACUUCUUAAGACUAGAAAAUAUACCGUUGUAAGAUGGAGAUGGUAGUGGAGCAGAGCGGAACCAAGAAGAUGAAACCAAGCUCUCCAUGCUAUUGCAACUAAAAAUCGUGAUAGCCUCCAGUUCAGUUACACUCUUUAUUAGAGAUAAAAAAUCGCAUAAACUUGUUGCAUCAUCAUUAUUAUGAAUACUCAA